GGUUAAUCAAGAAUUGCUCAGUCCACAGUGAAAGGAGACGAGUUCGUCAACGUGAAUGGAGACGUGUCAUAUUCUCUGAUGAGAGUCGGUUUUGUGUGUCCCAUGCAGAUGGAAGGGUCAGAGUUUGGCGACGUCAAGGAGAUCGUUUUGCUGACAGAAAUGUUUUGGAAAGGGAUGCAUGGGGUGGACCUAGUGUCAUGAUUUGGGCCGGAA